GCAUGUGGUUUAAUUUCGAUGAUACGCGAGGAACUUACCUGGGCUCGAACGUAAGAUGACUGUAGGUGAAAGCUUACAUCUCUUCGGAGCAUUUUUACGAGGUGCUGCAUGGUUGUCGUCAGCUCGUGCCGUGAGGUGUCGGGUUAAGUCCCAUAACGAGCGCAACCCUACCUUUAGUUGCCAUCAGGUAAUGCUGGGGACUCUAAAGGAACUGCCUACGCAAGUAGUGAGGAAGCGGGGAUGACGUCAAAUCAGCACGGCCCUUACGUCCAGGGCUACACACGUGCUACAAUGGCCGAUACAGAGGGCAGCUACCUGGUGACAGGAUGCAAAUCUCCAAAGUCGGUCUCAGUUCGGAUCGGAGUCUGCAACCCGACUCCGUGAAGUUGGAUUCGCUAGUAAUCGCGCAUCAGCCAUGGCGCGGUGAAUACGUUCCCGGGCCUU
rnacentral:rRNA from 1 species